AUAAAUAAAAACUUUCAACAACGGAUCUCUUGGUUCUGGCAUCGAUGAAGAACGCAGCGAAAUGCGAUAAGUAAUGUGAAUUGCAGAAUUCAGUGAAUAUCGAAUCUUUGAACGCACAUUGCGCCCGCCAGUAUUCUGGCGGGCAUGCCUGUCUGAGC
rnacentral:rRNA from 1 species